rnacentral:lncRNA from 1 species
ACCCGCUGCCCUCUGGUGUCCUGCUGUGGGAGCUUUGUUCUUUCACUCUCGUAAUAAGUCUUGCUGCUGCUCACUCUUUGGGUCCGCACUGUCUCUGUGAGCUGUAACACUCACCGCGAGGUUCUGUGCCUUCGUUCUUUAAGUCAGGGAGACCACGAACCCACCGGGAGGAACAAACAACUGUGAUGCGCCAUCUUUAAGAGCUGUAACAUUCACCGCCGGGGUCUGCGGCUUCAUUCCUGGAGUGAGUGAGACCACGAACCCACCAGAAGGAAGAAACUCUGGACCCAUCUGAACAGCUGAAGGAACAAACUCCGGACACACCAUCUUUAAGAACUGUAACACUCACCGGGAGUCUCCGUGGCUUCAUUCUUGAAGACAGCGAGACCAAGAACCCACCAGAAGGAAUGAAUUCCGCACACAGCAACAGCACAAAGUUAAACCAGGAAGUCCCUCUGCCUUGCUAGGGAUCCAGGUUUGCCUUCCUGUUGAGGUAUCCCAUUUCAUUACAGUUGACCUAAGUUUGAACAAACACUGCCACCUGAUGCAUGAAAGCUCUACUGUGACCUACGUUAAAAGGAGCUGACACUCCCUCAGGCUACCUUAGUCAGUGGGGGCUUACUGCAGCAUACCUGUGGCGAUGAGAGAGAGAGGCACAUCACAGGAGCAUCUGGCACCAGUGGCAUCCUGAAUUUAAGAUGAAACAAUAGAGAAAGAACCAAGAAGUUACAUACAUUCAUCAGAAUUGCUGGAGAGUCCUGACCUCUGGCCAUCGAUCAAAGGGAAGCGUUCACUACUGAAGCCUUGUUUCAACUCUUUAAUGAGUGGACUAUUCUCUGAAGCUGGCCCUCAGUCUUACUCUGGGUUCAUCAACCAAGGUCAAGAUCUGUCCACAUGCACGUAACAGGAGCACUUUUCCGAGAAUUGUAAAGGAGCCACGGUGCAAAGCCUUCUGGACCUGGGUCUCAUGUGAAAACUCAGCAAUGAGCCUCCUGGCCUGAGAUGAGCCUGCGGAGCACCUUGUUACAGCACGCAUAUGAUGUAUAUAAAAAAUGAACACAUGUAUUCCAAUUACACUGAUUUGAUCUUUACAAACUAUAUGGAUGUAUUAAAUUGUCACAUGUACCCUCAAAAUAUGUACAUCUAUUAUGUAUCAAUAAAAUAAUUAACAUAUUUUUAACUUGUUUUUGGUAGAGCCGUAACAUCUGGGGAGCAAUUAAUUGCAGAAGCAAUUAAUCUGGCUAUUGACUGAUAUUUACUCAGGACAAGGAAAACUAUCAUUACUAAGUAAGAUGUGCAAGAAAGAUUAAUUCACAGUAAGCAAGAUUUUUGUAGCUUGUACUGCUAUAAAUUUGUAUUACUGACUGACAUUGGGACCAUCUACAUGUAAAUCCUACAAAUCAGGACAGAACAGUGACCUCCUCAAGUGCUCAUCAUACUUAUCUCAGUUUCCAGAAGUCAGCAAUCAAUCUGAAAAGGUAACUAAAAUGGCACUUAUAAGAACCAUAGAUUGGUAAAGUUAAUUAUCCAUAUUUGUUAAUAAUACAAAUAAUAGUUAAUAUUUAUAAUGCCCCUACCAUGUACCAGGCUUCAUGCUAAGUACUUUAUAUUUUUAAAUUUUUAUUUCAAUAGCUCUUGGGGUACAAGUGGUUUUUUGUGGCAUGGAUGAAUUAUACGGUGGUGAAUUUGAAGAUUUUAGUGCACCUGUCACCCAAGUAGUGUACAUUGUACCUAAUGGGUAGUUUUUUUUAUCCUGAGAACCUCUUCCAACCUCCCACUUCUGAUUCUCCAAAGUCCAUUAUAUCACUCUGUAUGCCUUUGUGUACUCAUAUAUGCUUUAUAUCACUUAAUCCUAACAACAAUACUAUGAGGUAGAUACUAUUAUUUUCCCCAAUAUAUAGUGAUGCACCACAUAGUUUCAGUCAGUGAUGGACUGCAUUUAAGACAGUAGUCCCAUAAGAUUAUAGUGGAGCUGAGAAGUUUCUAUCAUCUGUAAUGUUGUAGCCAUCAUAAUGUUGUAGCACAACCCAUUACUCAUGUUUGUGGUGAUGAUAUAAACAAAUCUCCUGCAUUGCCAGUCACAUAAAAGCAUAACACAUACAAUUAUGAACAGUACCUAAUACUUGAUAAUGGUAACAAAUGACUAUGUUACUGCUUUAUAUAUAAUAUUUACUAUACUAUAGUUUUUUACUGUUAUUUUAGAGUGUACUCCUUUUACUUAUGAAAAAAAGGUCACUGUGGCCGGGCGCAGUGGCUCAUACCUGUAAUCCCAGCACUUUGGGAGGCCGAGGCAGGUGGAUCACGGGGUCAGGAGUUCAAGACCAGCCUGGCCAAGAUGGUGAAACCCCAUCUCUAAUAAAAAUACAAAAAUUAGCCAGGCAUGGUGGCGUGUGCCUAUAAUCCCAGCUACUCGGGAGGCUGAAGAAGAGAAUUGCUUGAACCCGGGAGGUGGAGGUUGCAGUGAGCCGAAGUCAUGCCACUGCACUCCAGCCUGGGCGACAGAGCAAGACUCCGUUUACAAAAAAAAAAAAAGAAAAGAAAAAAGGUUAUUGUAACACAGCUUCAGGCAGGUCCUUCAGGAGGUAUUUCAGAAGAAGGCAUUGUUAUUCUA